rnacentral:tRNA from 9 species
AGGAUCUUAGCUCAGUUGGUUCAGAGCGCUGCCUUGACAGGGCAGAGGUCAUCGGUUCGAGCCCGUUAGGUCCUA